CAUCGCAGGGAUCAUUACCGAGUUUACAACUCCCAAACCCCUGUGAACAUACCACUUGUUGCCUCGGCGGAUCAGCCCGCUCCCGGUAAAACGGGACGGCCCGCCAGAGGACCCCUAAACUCUGUUUCUAUAUGUAACUUCUGAGUAAAACCAUAAAUAAAUCAAAACUUUCAACAACGGAUCUCUUGGUUCUGGCAUCGAUGAAGAACGCAGCAAAAUGCGAUAAGUAAUGUGAAUUGCAGAAUUCAGUGAAUCAUCGAAUCUUUGAACGCACAUUGCGCCCGCCAGUAUUCUGGCGGGCAUGCCUAUUCGAGCGUCAUUUCAACCCUCAAGCACAGCUUGGUGUUGGGACUCGCGUUAAUUCGCGUUCCUCAAAUUGAUUGGCGGUCACGUCGAGCUUCCAUAGCGUCGUAGUAAAACCCUCGUUACUGGUAAUCGUCGCGGCCACGCCGUUAAACCCCAACUUCUGAAUGUUGACCUCGGAUCAGGUAGCAAUACCCGCUGAACUU
rnacentral:rRNA from 1 species